rnacentral:lncRNA from 1 species
CAUUAAACUCACAAUAUUAGUACUUUUAAGAUUUGUUGAUCAUGACUUCCUGAUUAACAGAUAACAGAGUUGUGUUGGUCUCUCUGGCUUAGUUUUAGACUGGUUUAGGUCUUCUCUGAACAUCAGGUUUGAAACGCCUUUCUCUUGAAUUCAGACGAGCAGAAUGCGUAGGUACGUGUACAGGACAAAGAACAUGGGGACAAAGAUUGAUAUCACAGAAAGAACCUCACUUCCUUUGUCAAUAACAGUUGUAUCCACACAAGAGAGCUGAACCGCAGACCAGCUGGUGCACUCUGUCUCCACACAGAGGCAGACGGCUGGACGGACCGCAAAGGAAGACGAAAACACACACAGGGCCGAGCAAUGCAAAAACUUAAAAGGCGUUGGCACCAUCUUCAUCGACAUUUUACCUGGGGGUGGAAAUCCUGGAAUUAAAAGGUUUUUUUUGUUUGUAAUUAGUGUUUUCUAAGUAAUUAGUGUCAUAACAUGGAUUACAAAUUGUCUGAAUCCAUUGGUUGAGAGACUGAACUAUGUAUUUCAAAAAAUAGUGGAGAUUCUCCCUCUCACUUCUAACAAAAGGCGCAAAAUGGUUGAGUCCGCCUCCAUCACGACUGAGAAGUUGUCAGCUAAUCUACUGACCAGUGGUUUCAUAAUGUCCCUCCUCAAGAAGGUAAAGUCUGGGUCGCAGGAGAGAAAAGAGAGAAGAGAAAGAGAGGAAGAACAAACCAAGGGAAAACAUUUGUUCAUGAUUUCUCUCAAAGGAAAGAAACAGCGACAGAGAGUGGAGCAGCGGCAGGGCCUUCAUCAUCGUCAUCUCUUGUUGAUGGUGAGCUCACAGUGCCACUGGCAACUACAAGUUCUUCCAAGCAAUCCUUUGUAACAGUUUUAACUGAAAGGAGCUUAGCGACACUGAAGUAGUCUGUGUUAUUGUAUGUUAGGCCAGGGGAGGGGUGCAGGUGUACUUGGAAAAAUGCAUUUUUGAACUUCAUUGUGACGUCACUUAUCAUAUGACAUCAUAUGAUGGGACAUUAUUUUCGAAUAAAUAUAAUCUUUAGAUCAUCUGCAUCUUGGAAAAUGUGUUUUUAGGACUAUAUUUUGUUGACUUUGACAUUUGACAGUUGAAUACAAAUACAAUGUACUAAUAUAGUAUAUAGUAUACUAUAGUAUAUAUAAUCAUAUAUUCAUUAUUAUACUGCAUUGAAUACAUUGUAAUAAAUAUCAUAUCAAAAUCAUUAUUUUC